rnacentral:rRNA from 1 species
UAGGGAAUAUUGGACAAUGGGCGAAAGCCUGAUCCAGCAACGCCGCGUGCGCGAUGAAGGCCUUCGGGUUGUAAAGCGCUUUUCGGGGGGAUGAGGAAGGACAGUACCCCCGGAAUAAGUCUCGGCUAACUACGUGCCAGCAGCCGCGGUAAAACGUAGGAGGCAAGCGUUAUCCGGAUUUACUGGGCGUAAAGCGCGUGCAGGCGGUACGGUAAGUCGGACGUGAAAGCUCCUGGCUCAACUGGGAGAGGCCGUUCGAUACUACCGAACUAGAGGGCAGGAGAGGGAGGUGGAAUUCCGGGUGUAGCGGUGAAAUGCGUAGAUAUCCGGAGGAACACCAGUGGCGAAGGCGGCCUCCUAGUCUGCCCCUGACGCUCAGACGCGAAAGCUAGGGGAGCGAACGGGAUUAGAAACCCCGGUAGUCCUAGCUGUAAACGAUGCGGACUUGGUGUGGGUGGCUUAAACUCCAUCUGUGCCGUAGCUAACGCGAUAAGUCCGCCGCCUGGGGACUACGACCGCAAGGUUA